GACUGGCCCUGGUCCUGGGGAGGAGUUGGGGAGCGGGAACUUGCGUCUGAACUGUUAGAAGAUCCCUGCUCUUUGUCCCUCCUCACUGCACACACAAGAAAAUGAGAGACCGGAGCCCAGAGUGGGCGGACAGAAGGCACAGUGUUUGCUGGACUCAGAUCCCUGUGUCCAGAAGGUCUUGUGGGGGGACCUUUGGUCUGCGGGUGCCUGGCUCCUAGACAGUCCAUUCUUCAGCAGCAUCCAUCCUGUCCCUCCCUCCUUCUUUCAACCACCCUGGGAUUCAGACCAUUAACUAGUCAGUGGCCUCAACUGCUGAAAAAGGAACUUUCUCAUUUCCCUCACUGUGUGGAGAGGGACUAAUCCUUGGGAAGGUGUGAGAGGAUGAGGUCUGAGGGCUAGAAAAACUGGGAUUUUCUCAAGUGAUUCCGUUUGGCAACCCCAUCUGAAAUGGAGGACAGAGCAGAAAAAUAGCCAUGCCCCAAUAGGAAUGUCUUGUACUAUCCCAAGGAAGAUGAUGCAAAGGAAGUCAUAGGUACAACUAGGUGGCACUGGAGUCCAAAAGACAUGAAUCGAAAUCUUGCCUCAGAGGCUUAUUAGCUAUGUGACCCUGGGAAAGUAAUUUUUCCUCUCAGCCUCAGUUU